CCUAACUGUAAACGAGCAACUGUUGUUCACCUUCUUACUGUUUUGAAGAUAGUAUGUUUUAUACAGUUUUUCGUAGAACUAAUUGUAAUUAUCAACAAAGGUAGGUUUGCAGCAACCUGCGGUUUUCGGAAGGCAUACAUCCACAGCAGCGCACCAUCAACAAAACACUUCAGAAAAGGAAUCCAUGCUCUUUGGUUCAGUUCCAAUAUGUCCACACUACAUACCGUCAUACUUCAACAUACUAUUUGCGUACAAAAUCAAGAACGCUCAUAAUCCUGAAUCUUUAUUUAAUGUACCGACCGAAAGUGCCAUGUAAUCGUCAAACAUAUGAGACUGAUAAACAGGUCUACCUGGAAGCGGCUAAUGGAGAUAACGUUUAAAAAUGCAGUUUACUAUGUAUCCUCACAUAUGAAGAGUGAAAUCAUUACAGCUGAGACAUAGUAUCUCACUCUCCAUCAAUCGUUAAGAUCUCCACAAUCAGUACGGAAUCGCAGUAUUGAGUGUAACUAUUACUAUGCUCAAGGAUAUAGUUGAGUUCUUAUCCUAAUCGUGUUUGUGGAAUGGAGCAAGAUUCUUCUCUAACACUGCGACUGCAAGAAUGUUGGAUCUAAUUGUCCUGCAGCAAAUUAUAGGUGACAUAAGAAUAACGUGCCGAAAACUCGUCAACUACUACACCAUUUUCAGUAAGGAAGUUAUUAUCCCUCCGGUACUCGCGCGAAUGGCUCCCC